rnacentral:rRNA from 1 species
AUUGAACGCUGGCGGCAGGCCUAACACAUGCAAGUCGAACGAGUGGCGGACGGGUGAGUCAUGUCUGUGAAACUGCCCGAUGGAGGGGGAUAACUACUGGAAACGGUAGCUAAUACCGCAUACCAUCGGAUGUUCCCAGCUGGGAUUAGCUAGUAGGUGGGGUAACGGCUCACCUAGGCGACGCUCCCUAGCUGGUCUGAGAGGAUGACCAGGCACAAUGGAACUGAUACACGGUCCAGACGCCUACGGGAGGCAGCAGUGGGGAAGAUUGCACAAUGGGCGCAAGCCUGAGGCAGCCAUGCCGCGUGUAUGAAGAAGGCCUUCGGGUUGUAAAGUACUUUCAGCGAGGAGGCGUUACUCGCAGAAGAAGCACCGGCUAACUCCGUGCCAGCAGCCGCGGUAAUUCC